CGUAGGUAAUCUACCCUAGUGUACGGGACAACAUCGGGAAACAGGUGCUAAUACCGAAUACGCUUCUUUAGAUGCGAAUUUAGAGAAGGAAAGGUGGCCUCUUCAUGAAAGCUACUGCACAAGGAUGAGCCUGCGUACCAUUAGCUAGUUGGUGGGGUAAUGGCCUACCAAGGUUUCGAUGGUUAGCGGGUCUGAGAGGAUGAUCCGCCACACUGGCACUGGAACACGGGCCAG
rnacentral:rRNA from 1 species